rnacentral:tRNA from 1 species
GCCUCUGUAGUGUAGUGGAUAACAUGCUUCCCUGCGGAGGAGGUGAUCCGGGGUUCGAAAAAACAGCCCUCAAAUAACCCUAAGGCAGGGGGUUGAAGCGAAAUUCCCCGCAGAGGCA